AUCCAGAUGAUGAGUCUCAAAUAGGAGGAAAUGCGCAUCCUGGCU
rfam:Trichobilharzia regenti genome assembly, scaffold: TRE_contig0000732